AGACCCGAAACCCGGUGAUCUAGCCAUGGGCAGGUUGAAGGUUGGGUAACACUAACUGGAGGACCGAACCGACUAAUGUUGAAAAAUUAGCGGAUGACCUGUGGCUGGGGGUGAAAGGCCAAUCAAACCGGGAGAUAGCUGGUUCUCCCCGAAAGCUAUUUAGGUAGCGCCUCGUGAAUUCAUCUCCGGGGGUAGAGCACUGUUUCGGCUAGGGGGCCAUCCCGGCUUACCAACCCGAUGCAAACUGCGAAUACCGGAGAAUGUUAUCACGGGAGACACACGGCGGGUGCUAACGUCCGUCGUGAAGAGGGAAACAACCCAGACCGCCAGCUAAGGUCCCAAAGUCAUGGUUAAGUGGGAAACGAUGUGGGAAGGCCCAGACAGCCAGGAUGUUGGCUUAGAAGCAGCCAUCAUUUAAAGAAAGCGUAAUAGCUCACUGGUCGAGUCGGCCUGCGCGGAAGAUGUAACGGGGCUAAACCAUGCACCGAAGCUGCGGCAGCGACGCUGAUGCGUUGUUGGGUAGGGGAGCGUUCUGUAAGCCUGUGAAGGUGGCCUGUGAGGGUUGCUGGAGGUAUCAGAAGUGCGAAUGCUGACAUAAGUAACGAUAAAGCGGGUGAAAAGCCCGCUCGCCGGAAGACCAAGGGUUCCUGUCCAACGUUAAUCGGGGCAGGGUGAGUCGACCCCUAAGGCGAGGCCGAAAGGCGUAGUCGAUGGGAAACGGGUUAAUAUUCCCGUACUUGGUGUUACUGCGA
rnacentral:rRNA from 1 species